GAUCCUGGCUCAGGAUGAACGCUAGCUACAGGCUUAACACAUGCAAGUCGAGGGGCAGCAUGAACUUAGCUUGCUAAGUUUGAUGGCGACCGGCGCACGGGUGAGUAACACGUAUCCAACCUUCCCGUUACUCUGGGAUAGCCUUUCGAAAGAAAGAUUAAUACCGGAUAGUAUCGAGAGAUUGCAUGAUAACCCGAUUAAAGAUUUAUCGGUAACGGAUGGGGAUGGCGUUCCAUUAGAUAGUAGGG
rnacentral:rRNA from 1 species